UACGUAGGUGGCAAGCGUUGUCCGGAUUUAUUGGGCGUAAAGCGCGCGCAGGCGGUUUCUUAAGUCUGAUGUGAAAGCCCCCGGCUUAACCGGGGAAGGUCAUUGGAGACUGGGGAACUUGAGUGCAGAAGAGGAGAGUGGAAUUCCAUGUGUAGCGGUGAAAUGCGUAGAGAUAUGGAGGAACACCAGUGGCGAAGGCGGCUCUCUGGUCUGUUACUGACGCUGAGGCGCGAAAGCGUGGGGAGCAAACAGG
rnacentral:rRNA from 1 species